AUUGAACGCUGGCGGCAUGCCUUACACAUGCAAGUCGAACGGCAGCACGGGUGCUUGCACCUGGUGGCGAGUGGCGAACGGGUGAGUAAUACAUCGGAACAUGUCCUGUAGUGGGGGAUAGCCCGGCGAAAGCCGGAUUAAUACCGCAUACGAUCUACGGAUGAAAGCGGGGGCCCUUCGGGCCUCGCGCUAUAGGGUUGGCCGAUGGCUGAUUAGCUAGUUGGUGGGGUAAAGGCCUACCAAGGCGACGAUCAGUAGCUGGUCUGAGAGGACGACCAGCCACACUGGGACUGAGACACGGCCCAGACUCCUACGGGAGGCAGCAGUGGGGAAUUUUGGACAAUGGGCGAAAGCCUGAUCCAGCAAUGCCGCGUGUGUGAAGAAGGCCUUCGGGUUGUAAAGCACUUUUGUCCGGAAAGAAAGCCUUUGCCCUAAUACGGUCGGGGGAUGACGGUACCGGAAGAAUAAGCACCGGCUAACUACGUG
rnacentral:rRNA from 1 species